rnacentral:rRNA from 1 species
UACGGGGGAUGCAAGUGUUAUCCGGAAUCACUGGGCGUAAAGCGUCUGUAGGUGGUUUAGUAAGUCAACUGUUAAAUCUUGAAGCUCAACUUCAAAAUCGCAGUCGAAACUAUUAGACUAGAGUAUAGUAGGGGUAAAGGGAAUUUCCAGUGGAGCGGUGAAAUGCGUAGAGAUUGGAAAGAACACCGAUGGCGAAGGCACUUUACUGGGCUAUUACUGACACUCAGAGACGAAAGCUAGGGUAGCAAAUGGGAUUAGAUACCCCAGUAGUCCUAGCUGUAAACAAUGGAUACUAGAUGUUGAACAGUCGCUGCAGUGUCAAAGCUAACGCGUUAAGUAUCCCGCCUGGGAAGUAUGCUCGCAAGAGUG